UACGUAGGAGACGAGCGUUGUCCGGAAUUACUGGGCGUAAAGCGCGUGUAGGCGGAUGGGCAAGUCUGCUGUGAAAGCUCCUGGCUUAACCGGGAGUGGUCGGUGGAAACUGCCAAUCUGGAGGACGGUAGAGGUAGGUAGAAUUCCCGGUGUAGUGGUGAAAUGCGUAGAGAUCCGGAGGAACACCGAAGGCGAAGGCAGUGUCCUGGCGCGUAACUGACGCUGAGGUGCGAAAGCCAGGGGAGCGAACGGG
rnacentral:rRNA from 1 species